GAGGCUUCAAAGAUGACAUCAAACUGCAAAUUAGGCUACACACUGAAAUGUAAUCUGCAAACUUUCUCAGACUGUCAACAUGGUGUGAAGAAAAGAGAAUUAUCUAGCAACAUACAGAAUAUUUGCAACAGGGUGAAUACAGUAUUACAAUCAAGUAUUGCUUCCAUCCUUGCAAAUCUACAAUCACAUCUCACUCCUUGUGAAAACUCACCUUUCACUGUCUAUACCGCAUGAGAUGUCCCACUUCAGCAAUUCUG